rnacentral:rRNA from 1 species
GUUUUUUCUUCCGAUCCCAUUGAUGUCUUAAACAUCAAACUUAAGAGAUUUAAGUCGUACUUUAAAGGAUGGGGUUCGGAUAGAUUUGGUCAUGAUAAGAAAAGAAAGGAAGACCUUCGGAUGGAGUUGGAGAUGCUGGAAGAAGUAGAAGAAGAGGCCCCUCUCUCCCCUGAGCUAUAUACUAGAAAGAUUGAUAUUUGUUUUGAGCUUCAUGAGCUGCUUGUCAAUGAGGAAAUUUUUUGGCUACAACAAUCGCACGAGCGGUGGUUGCUCAAAGGGGACUUGAACACUGAUUAUUUCCAUCGUAUAGCGAAUGGACGUAAAAGGAAAAACACGAUCCACUCCCUUAAGGCUGGCGACGUGGAGAUUGAGGGCACUGAUAAGCUGAUUGAGCAUGCCACGGAGUUCUAUAGAGAAUUGUUCGGUCCUGCUCCUGGAAAUCAGUUUAAUCUUGACCCUGACACCUGGGCGCCUGAGGAAAGGCUGAGUGAG